rnacentral:rRNA from 1 species
AUUGAACGCUGGCGGCAUGCCUAACACAUGCAAGUCGAGCGAGCGGCGGACGGGUGUGUAAUGUAUGGGGACUGCCCUAUAGAGGGGGCUAACUCCUGGAAACGGUGCCUAAUACCGCUUACUAUCGGAUAACCCAUAUGGGAUUAGCUAGUAGGUGGGGUAAAGGCUCACCUAGGCGACGAUCUCUAGCUGGUCUGAGAGGAUGAUCAGCCACAGUGGGACUGAGACACGGCCCAGACUCCUACGGAGGCAGCAGUGGGGAAUAUUGCACAAUGGGCGCAAGCCUGAUGCAGCCAUGCCGCGUGGAUGAAGAAGGCCUUAGGGUUGUAAAGUACUUUCAGAGGGGAGGCGUUACCCGAAGAAGAAGCAACGGCUAACUCCGUGCCAGCAGCCGCGGUAAUUC